GGGCAUGUGCUGCUAUGCCUGGCAAGAAGUGAAUUUAUUUUUGCUUGAUUUUUCUUGAGUUGAGUUUUACACUGCACAUAAUUUUAAUUAGAUCUAAUUACCUGUUUGUCUCCAUAUUGGUCGGCACAAACAUGCACGUGGAAGCAGUAGAUGAUGGUUGGGCAAUGCAAUGUAAUUGUAGCUAUAUAAAAUGUUUGUAUUUCACAAUUAGGCCAAAUUUGAAUUUCAUCACGGUGACUAUGAGAAACAGUUUCUGCAUGUACUGAGCCGCAAGGACAAGACAGGAAUUGUUGUCAACAAUCCUAACCAGUCAGUGUUUCUCUUCAUUGACAGACAGCAUUUGCAGACUCCAAAAAACAAAGCCACCAUCUUCAAGUUAUGCAGCAUCUGCCUCUACCUGCCGCAGGAACAGCUCACCCACUGGGCAGUUGGCACCAUAGAGGAUCACCUCCGUCCUUACAUGCCAGAGUAAAUAAGAGCAUUGACCAGCAAUGGAGAAGACCAGAGAAUGCAGCAGCUAUUUUCUUUUCUUGUUUUCUUACCACUUUUCUUUCAGAGUUUAAAGAAAAUGGACUCAUGCACAGAACACUAUGCGUUUUGAAACUUGUUCAUCCUGGAUUUAUUUUAAUCAUUUGUAUCACAGAACUUUAAAAAAAAUCAGAUGUCUUCUGCACGGACUGUGUGAAAGUGCUUUGCAGACUGCUGCACUGCAUCAGCGUCUUACUAAAGUGUGAAGGAAGGACUACUGUACACUGAAUGCUUACUGUAUCUGAAAGCACAGGGAUGCUCAGUGUUGUGGU
rnacentral:lncRNA from 1 species